GUGUUGGUAGCUCAUUGGUAGAGUGCAUGAUUUGAAUGUAUGAUGUUCCGGGAUCAAUCCCCAGCUUCUUCC